rnacentral:rRNA from 1 species
UACGUAAGGGGUGAGACGUUGUCCGGAAUUAUUGGGCGUAAAGAGCUCGUAGGCGGUCUGUCGCGUCUGCUGUGAAAACUCAGGGCUUAACCCUGAGCUUGCAGUGGGUACGGGCAGACUAGAGGUGCGGUAGGGGAGACUGGAAUUCCUGGUGUAGCGGUGAAAUGCGCAGAUAUCAGGAGGGAACACCGGUGGGCGAAGGCGGGUCUCUUGGGCCGU